GAAGGGACCUAGCGUAGUUCGGAAUUACUGGGCUUAAAGAGUUCGUAGGUGGUUGAAAAAGUUGGUGGUGAAAUCCCAGAGCUUAACUCUGGAACUGCCAUCAAAACUUUUCAGCUAGAGUAUGAUAGAGGAAAGCAGAAUUUCUAGUGUAGAGGUGAAAUUCGUAGAUAUUAGAAAGAAUACCAAUUGCGAAGGCAGCUUUCUGGAUCAUUACUGACACUGAGGAACGAAAGCAUGGGUAGCGAAGAGGAUUAGAUACCCUCGUAGUCCAUGCCGUAAACCGAUGUGUGUUAGACGUUGGAAAUUUAUUUUCAGUGUCGCAGGGAAACCGAUAAACACACCGCUGGGAGUACGACCGAAGGUUAAACUCAAUGAAUUGACGGGGACCGCACAAGUAGUGAGCAUGUGGUUAUUCGAGAUACGCGCAGACCUUACCACACUUGACAUGUCGUCGCGACUCUAAGAGAUUAGAGUUUCGGUUCGGCCGACGGAACACAGGUGCUGCAUGGC
rnacentral:rRNA from 1 species